CCGUCCCUCAGGUGCCCCUCUGUCACCGCUGCAGUGUUGCGGUACGCCUGAGGAGGCGGGUCUAAUCGGUAAGACAGGCCGCCUUGCAGAGGGUGCCACGUCAUCCUGCGGCAAGCCGGGGACUUAAUGACGGCACGCCACCGGUUCCCUGCUCGGCAGACCCAGCUGGGGACAUGGCAGGCGCUCUUUGGAGAGCUACCAUUUUCCGUUCAAGAGAUGAAACCGAAAGAGAGUGGAGACGCAGUGCAGAAUUUGCUGAGAUCUGCGAGGAAGCCUGCAAGAGCAACCGGGCAGGCUGGCGGUACCCAGGCAGCAUCCUGGGAUUUUGAUCAUAGAGGCACCACGGCUCAGAGAUGUACCCUGACGGCCGUCCUGGAGCGGGGACCUUUACCGAGAGCCCGAGCUCAGCUGUGCGUGAUGGAUGCGGUACUUUGAUUGUCGCUCAUGUGUUCUAGUCUCUGUUUAAAGAGGUUGGACAUGUACGUACUCGCGAGGCCCUUACUUCAUUUGAUCUAGUGACAGGGGUGCGAGCCUUGGGGUUUCUGGUACCGCCGCAGUGCUUUGUCCUCUCCUUGCAGAGGAAAACGGAAAGAAUGAAAGCAGCAAACGGAACGAGCCCAGUGAGGCAGACAGAUGAGCCUGAGGCAGCAGGCUCCAGCAGCAGCCAGAAACACUCAAGAUGCUACGGACGGUGCUUAGCAAUACCACAGACCCAUCUCCCCACCAGCAGUCUGGAGCACCUUGCAGGCAACUAACAGGAGCGAUUGGUGGGGACAACUCCCCUCAGAGAGAAAACCUUCUUUUUAAAGUCCCUAGGUGACACUUUGUGCUUGAUUGCUAACCUAAAGGUUGGUCAUUGAAACUCACCCAGUGGUACGGAUAAAGAAAAAGCCCGGCGAUCUGCUGCCCAUAAAGAUUAUUGCCAAGAAAACCCUAUGGAGUAGUUCUACUCUGCAACACAUGGGGUCACCCUGAGUCGGAGUGGACUCCAUGGCAACUAACAGCAGCAGUUUAAAACACCCUAAGGAAGAAUUCAAUUUGUCCAACCAAGAUGUUGCUUCCGAAUCCAGCCACACAUUCACCAUGCCAGUAGCCCUACACAGCUAUUCCUGGAAACCGGACAAGCAAAUCACACUACUGAUGUGCACAUCUGCAAUCUGAUGUGCGUGAAACCACUUUCAGGGAAUCUCUUGAUGCUGAGCUUGGGGCAUCUCCACUCUACCUAAGAUGCUGGAAGAGGUACCACCACCCGUGACGGAGCAAGCAGAGCAGCUUCCCACAGUAAAUGAAGGAGGCUGCAUCAGUCAUUUUGCGGGCUUGAUGCCCAGGGCCACUUUCCCAGAACACCCCAUGAUGGGAGCAACAUAAUAGUGAGAACUAAAUGUGUGAAUCAACAGAGUCCUGGGGUCUGCCCUGGAUGGCUUCUUGUCAGGACACACAUAAAGUGAAACCGCAAUUAGCCGUUACACUAUAUUCUGCCAUCACAGUGGUUUUGCACCUGGGCAUCUAAACUUGCACCAGAUUACUGAAGUUUUCCCUUGCUGUUGACAUCAGCUGUUGGGGAAGAUGACUUCUGGGCACUUUCUCAAUGGACUUUUUGUUUUUGUUUUGAUUUGUUUUGUUUUCCUCUUUUGAGGCAGAUCCUAGCAAUUUAGUUACAAGUCCUUAAUCCAGGAUCUUCCCGAGCUUCCUGCCUUCUGAUAUCUGGUCCGAAAACCAGGUCUUAUUCGCGUCUGUCCAAAAGGUUGGCAGUUUGAAUCCUCUCAUCCUGGAAAAAAAGGCCUGAUGACCUACUUCCGAAAUAUCAGCCACUGAAAACCCUACAGAGCACAGUUCUACUCUGACACACAUGGGGUCACCAUGAGUCGGAGUCUACUCAUUGACAAUUAUUCACAUACAUAAAUAAGCAGCCCAGGACAACAAUGCUUAGUACACAGGAGUCAUACAAUAAAUGUUACAUGAAAUAAUGUUCCUAGGCAAGAUUUCUGACUUCCUUCUCAAUUGUACCCUCAGUCUCAGGUUCAUGGGCUUCCCCAACAUAUGCCUAUCACCCUCUUGAGAAAAAUUAUACACACAUGCACACACACACACAAACACCCUUUGGCUGUCUGACUACCAAGAAGUACCCACAGUAAGACUGUCACGAAUACUCUGCUUAAUUUACUGUGUUUAUACCUGGCAUAUCUAUGACAUUGAAUCAAGUGAUAUUCUUUACUCAUGCACCAUAUCUUGUUGAACACUCUUGGCACGGAGUUAUAUUGAGAAGUUUAAUUCACAGCAAGUAAUAUUUAACAUUUGUUCAGUAGUUGGUAUAUAAAGCCGGCAAGCUCCCCUUCCCCCUGCUGCCAAAUUUCUCAUCUUGUGAGCCAAGAGUCUUCCCACUCCGGCUUUAUUGCCUAUGCUGCAUGCCCUCCUGACUUUUUCCACUUCAGUAUCAACCGACUAUCUCUUUGCGCAGCCUGAGGGCCACAAAGAGGUCACCUGUUGUUCCAGCUGUGAGCUAGCCUGCCUCACCCACUCCCAAAACUCCCCUCACUAAACUCAUUUUGCUGGGAGAGAGAGGCUGUUUCCCCACCAGCCCCCAAACCCCAACUUUCAAUAUUCUUUCUCAU